UUAAAUUAAUUUCUAAAGUGGACUUUAUUUUUUAGGGCAGUUUAGGUUCAGAGCAAGACUCAGCAGAACGGAAGGUGUUCCCAUACACCCCUCCCGCCAUGCACAACCGUUCCCACCACAGACAUUGACGCAUCAUUGUUUAUCACCCCUGUCUAUUAUUUUACAGUGAAAUCAAUUUCCCCAGCAGAAUGCCAGAUGAGCAUCUCAGAGGAUGUAAUUAUUUUAAUUUUCCAUGCGUAUAAUCCUGCCACCACCUAUAGUUAUGGGCAAUAAUUUUCAAAAUUCUUCUCAGUCAUUCUUAUCUUCAUAAACAGAGAAAUCUCUCCUCUCUGUCACCAUUUCUGGGAUGUGAGGGUCACACUAAACUUGCAGAGCAGGUCAGCAGAUGAGUCCGUGCAAAGCAAUCAAGCAAGCAGCGACCAGUUUUCAGGAUGCCCUGUGUGGUCCCCAGAGAAGACCUGAUGGGCUCCCGCUCCUGUGGUGGGCGUCGCUGCUCUGGCCAAGUCAGCCUUCCAAGCGGAGAGCGGCAACUCGCAUGCGCAGACCGUCACUGUGGGAGCAGCGCGGCUCCCUGCGCACACGCCGCCUCCCCGCUGACCACUGAGGCCGCAGGCUGUGCGGGGCCGGGUGCUGGGGCACCAGAGGCGGCCUGGCCCAGGAGCCCCGCCCGGACUCCGUUCCGGCAGUCCGGGGCCGCUGGGCAAGACCAUGGGCUCAGAGAAGAAUGGCGGCAGAGACUGGAAACAAAGCUGAAAUUGAGGAACAAUCCAGAGGAGACUAAAAAGCCAGCAAAUGUUGACUGACAGCUUCUUGCUUCAUUGACACAAGAGGAUCCCAAGCACUGAGGUCCUCUGCUAGGAGAAGUCAAUACACGUCCCUGAGUCCCUUGGCUAUACCAACAGAUCUCACACUGUGGUUUCCCCACCUGUGGGGGUUUACCUGUCAUCCCUUCCCAGCACUAAAUGGGAAUUACUAGCCAACUCAGUCCUCUAGGCCCAGGAUAUUAUCCCAAAUGUCUCUAAAGAUAGUUUAUUUAAUGUCGAAGCUCCAUGAAGUAUACGUUAUUUCCAGAUACUGACUUCUAAUUUUGAAAUCCAAAUAUUUUAAAUUCUAAGCACACUACAUCUUCAUGCAUAGUAGUUUUGCUCCUAUUUCUAGGAAACUGUUGCAUGUCAUCCUUCCAGUUGUUUUUUCUUUUUAUGAUGAGAAAUGCACCUAUCUGCAGAAAUAAAAAUAUCAUGAAUAGUCACUAAAUAAGCUUAGCAAAUAAAUUAACCUAAUAUAAUUUUUUCUUCA